rnacentral:rRNA from 1 species
UACGUAGGGCGCAAGCGUUAUCCGGAAUUACUGGGCGUAAAGAGCUCGUAGGUGGUUUGUCGCGUUGUCCGUGAAAACUCACAACUCAAUUGUGGGCGUGCGGGCGAUACGGGCAGACUGGAGUACUGCAGGGGAGACUGGAAUUCCUGGUGUAGCGGUGGAAUGCGCAGAUAUCAGGAGGAACACCGGUGGCGAAGGCGGGAUCCUGGGCCAGUACUGACGCUGAGGAGCGAAAGCGUGGGGAGCAAACAGG